rnacentral:piRNA from 1 species
UGCUGAUGCUCGUCUGUAUGUGCUGC